rnacentral:rRNA from 1 species
AUUGAACGCUGGCGGCAUGCUUUACACAUGCAAGUCGAACGGCAGCGCGGGCUUCGGCCUGGCGGCGAGUGGCGAACGGGUGAGUAAUGCAUCGGAACGUGCCCAGUAGUGGGGGAUAGCCCGGCGAAAGCCGGAUUAAUACCGCAUACGACCUGAGGGUGAAAGCGUGGGACCGAAAGGCCUCGCGCUACUGGAGCGGCCGAUGUCGGAUUAGCUAGUUGGUAGGGUAAAGGCUUAACAAGGCGACGAUCCGUAGCUGGUCUGAGAGGACGACCAGCCACACUGGGACUGAGACACGGCCCAGACUCCUACGGGAGGCAGCAGUGGGGAAUGUUGGACAAUGGGGGCAACCCUGAUCCAGCCAUGCCGCGUGCGGGAAGAAGGCCUUCGGGUUGUAAACCGCUUUUGUUCGGGAAGAAAACCUCUGGGCUAAUACCCCGGGGGGAUGACGGUACCGGAAGAAUAAGCACCGGCUAACUACGUG